CAAUACAACAAUCGCCACAGAUCAUUGUCUGGUGACAAUCAGCAACCCAUGGUAUCCUAGCAACCAGGCCAUGUUCGCACAGCAACAAUAACAUCAGCUGCAGCAAGACUCGGUUCAGCCAUCUUCAAUGUUAGGACAGCAACCUAAUUGCACAAUGUGCUCCUAGAUACAAACAUCGUCAUAGAUCUCUCUCCAAUCGCUUGAAGCUUUCACCAAACUGCUUCAUAUUUAGCUACCAGCAGUAUCCAUGCAACAGUAUCCAUGAAACAAACCCAUAAUUGCCCAGCAACAGCUUCAUCAGCAGCAGUGGUCAGGUCAGCCGUCAACCAUGUUUGGGCAGCCAAGGCGCAGUAGUUUGUUGAAACGUCAGCUCAGUUGACUCACGCCGCUCAGAGCAGAUCAGCGGGCUUUCAUGUCGCAGCACAACAUCUCAAAGGGAUCCAUGCGAGGUCAGCCCUCCCAACAGUGCCAUACCCAUGACGAUGAAGUCCUCCAACUCGCCCCAGUACUCACCUUGGUGUCAGGGAAAGGUUUAAGACACCAAUCAACACAAUCAAACGGGCCAAUCAGAAAGACAGCCUGUUGCAUCAGUUAGUCAUACCUCGGAAGAUCAGUUAUGAAUAAAAUUUAAGCACAUGCUACUUUCUAAGUUCCCUUAUUGGUCGCGUUAUAGCCUCGCCUUCUGUUGUGAACAAUAACAAUGAUCGAAGAUCUCAUCUUGGAAUUGUGGGAUGGGUCGGAAACGAGUGGCAUAGUUCAAAAUGAAAUUGCAGAAUGACAAAGCAUACCAAGUCAUGUGGCCAGCCAUAAAGUCGUGUGGCAUGCCACAUUGUGGAAUGCGACCAGCGAAUACAUUUCAUGUAGUAUGGGCAUAAUAAUGCUGUCAAUGAUUUGAUAUAAAUGUUUUUGUUUAAACGGGAUUUUGGAAAAACUUAGAAUUAAGAGUUUGCAUACGCUGACU